rnacentral:lncRNA from 1 species
AUUAACCUAAAUUAACACCCACCAGCCCACAGAGACAGCAAGCAGAACAAAACCAGGAAGCUUUCCUGUUUAGAUUUUAGAGCUUAUACUACCAUGUGAUGUAAAUUUCUAUCACUUGAUCCCUCUGGAAGGGUUGAGCUUUUAUGUUUUAGAAUCAUUGUCAAGAUUACCCUCAUAAUCCAGAAAGAAGAAAUGCGUUUGCUUGAUUGUGCUUAUUUUCCAUAAGUAAUAGACAAUCACACAAAUAGAUAAAUGUUUCUCACAUUUUUUAAAUUUCUGCAAGAAAGAAAACUCCAAUCUCAUCUUGAAAUUCUUAUAUCUUCCUCCAGUUGGGUUUUUCAGUGGGCAGAAUUGACAACCGAAGAACGCUUGCAAAGAACUGUUACUCUACUUAUCCAACUUGAAAGACAUGAGCACUGAUGGAUCUACUCGCAUCCUUUUCAGUGAAGUGGAAAUAGUGAUUGCAAACAUCUGGGCAUGUAGAGCAUCUCUUUCCUAAGCAUUUGAUUCUUGAGAAAGUAUAAGAGAGACACCUACUGGAGAGAACAAGAUGUAUCUUGUUAUCAGAUGAAUUUUCAGUUUCAGGGAAAUAAAACAACUAUGUGUCUACUGCCCUAAGAUUUUAUACCAUAUACUUUAGAGAUGAACAUGUUACCAUAGUUAUGAAGAUUUAUUUAUGGAAAUAUGUGAACAUCGCAUAGUCAAUUGUCAUGGGAAGGCUAAGUUUGAUUCAAAACAUAAAUCAGAAACCACUUAGGUAAAUCAAACAAGUAUUGCUUAUCUAAAUGAUAUAGAAGAGACGCCAGCUAGGACAUACAGCUCCAACUGAACAGUUCCCAGAAGAGAAUAAGGUAUAAGUUUUAGGUCCCGCUCCCCGACUACUUGGAGUAGCUGUGGCUGAAUAGUUCUGAGAGAUUAAACGUCACAUAAACCUGGAAGCUCAGUUGCACCAAUGCCACAACAAGUCCUGCUUUAUAUAAAUAAACUUGGAAUAAUUCUUCGUAUAGGCUGGCCUGGAUAUGUG